rnacentral:rRNA from 1 species
AGUGAACGCUGGCGGUAGGCCUAACACAUGCCAGUCGAACGGCAGCACAGUAAGAGCUUGCUCUUACGGGUGGCGAGUGGCGGACGGGUGAGGAAUACAUCGGAAUCUUCUUUUUCGUGGGGGAUAACGUAGGGAAACUUACGCUAAUACCGCAUACGACCUACGGGUGAAAGCAGGGGAUCUUCGGACCUUGCGCGAUUGAAUGAGCCGAUGUCGGAUUAGCUAGUUGGCGGGGUAAAGGCCCACCAAGGCGACGAUCCGUAGCUGGUCUGAGAGGAUGAUCAGCCACACUGGAACUGAGAAACGGUACAGACUCCUACGGGAGGCAGCAGUGGGGAAUAUUGGACAAUGGGCGCAAGCCUGAUCCAGCCAUACCGCGUGGGUGAAGAAGGACUUCGGGUUGUAAAGCGCUGUUGUUGGGAAAGAAAAGCAGCAGGUUAAUACCCCGCUGUUCUGACGGUACCCAAAGAAUAAGCACCGGCUAACGUCGUG